AGUUAAAUGAAAGCAAGCAAAUACUAUAUUUACAAUAAUAUCAUAGAAUAUAUAUAAUACCCAUAGUAAUUAUAGACGGCUAAAAAUAGCAUAUUAGUUUAAAUAUUCAUAUAUUUGAUCCAAAAAAAGGUUUAAAUAUUCAUAUAAAUUUAUAGGUUUAAUUUGACUGCAGAUGAUUUUCUGCAUUGCAUGUUGCAUGUCUUGUUUGAAAAGGUUUAUGUUAGUAUGAUAUUGAAUUAUUAGAGGAAACAACGGAAAAUGGCUAAGUGGGAAAAUAACAAAGAACAAAUUGCGACAUGGGCAAACAUUAUCUAAGUAUACAUAUAAAGGAAGACGAAGAAUCUUUGAAGAUUUAAAUGUAUCUGAAAUUAAAUAAGAAAAGAAAAAGAAAAAUCAAAUUUACUAGAGCAAAUAUAAAAACAAAAGUGAAAAAUACCAAAAAAAUGCUUCAGGUUUCAGUGCAAAACACAGAUAUCGCAGGAGAGGGUCCAUCUACAUAAUUGAGGAAGACUAAAUAGUAGUAAUAAUUAAAUGAUUUAAGCAAAUAAAGACAAACCUCAUCAGAUUCCUUUUUAUAAUAGUUAAUAAAUACAUUACAAUUUUGCCAGCGAAAAUUAGUUCCAAAAAAAAAAAAAAAUUUGCCAGCGAAUAUACAUAAUUUAUAUUACUAUUUGACGUGAAACACAUUUCAUGAUGUUUUAUAUAAAAACGUACUUUAAACAAAAUGUCAAGCUCGAACUUCUGUAAAUAUAACAAAAUAAAUUGAACCUUAUGCUUCUGUUUUUCUUACCCAUAGAAGCAAGCAACAAAGCAAAGCAAAAUGAUUUUGGAACAAGGUAGUGAUUUAAAAAAAAAAAAACAAGGUAGUGAUUAAACAUUCUAAUGACAGAACUACCCAUAUGGGUAACAGGGUAAGGAUGUCGACUCAUGCAUCCCAUCAAGGAAGUGAGGGGUAUAUUUGCAUGACGUGGAAGUUAAGUAUAUGGUUGUUUCUUUGUGGGAAGUAUGAGGCAACCAUGUGAUCAG
rnacentral:lncRNA from 1 species